rnacentral:tRNA from 1 species
AGGCACGUAGCUCAGUGGGAGAGCGCUACCUUGACACGGUAGAGGUCGGCAGUUCAAUCCUGCCCGUGCCUACCA